UUAACCCACAAAAUUAUAUCCAGCAAUUUAAAUUUAUUACUAAUUGUUAUGAUUUACAUUUUAAGGAUGUUUAUGUGAUUCUAGAUACCUCUCUCAUCUCACAAGAACGGAAUCAGCUGUGGCAAGCAGUUCGAGAAAAAGCUGAUCACAGACAUGAGUUCUCAAACCAUUUAAUCAAGGUUAUUGGCCACCUGAUAAUUUUACCAGCCUUGUUUAUCAAUCAAAGCCUUCACCAAUCUCCUGUUUAACAACUAAGUUCUGAGACAGGUAAACCUACACAAGGUGGAGCUGCCUGCCCCCUCCAUGGACCACGCUCAAAUGCAGCAGAAGAUACUGGACAAGAAAAUGCCCCAUCCUGGCAUUCUUUGAGACCUUACUCCAGGGCCGCUGGACUGUCCUAGCCACCAGAGAGUGGGUAAGCCAUCCUAAGUUCUAGCCCUCACAGGAAAUGUCGACACUGCCAGAUUCGUCACCGACAGAAAAUCGCUGCUGGAGGCUGAGGGGGUUCAGGGCAACAACAGCCCCCUUUAAGGUGUCCGUCUCAGAUUCCAAGUCGUACUAAAGUCUCAGGUAAGACAUUCUCUAUAUUUGUGGACAUAGAGGCCAUAUAUACAGAGUUCUUCCUGAGUAUUCAGGCUGCUAUAUUAAGUCCUCAAUCUCUAUGAUGGGGUAUUGAUGGUCAACCUAUGCCAUUUACAAACAGGGCCUAUUUUGUGCAGGUCCCAGUCUUCUCACUUGGUUUAUACUUUUUCAGGAUGCAUAAGAGCCUUUCUCAUACUUGCUAAAGUUCUGUUACAGCAAAUCAUUCCAAGGACAACAACCAGGUUGCAGCGACCCAUGUCUAAAUCAAAGUUGCUAGACUGCCAUCCUGGUUUCACAUCACUCAGGCUAAGAGGUGCCCUUCCAGCCCUAAAUCUGAUCAUUCUGAGUGGUCAUCUCAUCUCCUGUCGCCUACCUGUCUCCGUCUCACAAAGGCCUCGCAGCCACAGUUAACAGGCUAAGUCAUGUUUUGUUAUCCACUUUGGUUCCUAAUUUCUUACAUUCUAUUAAUGAUCAUUUUUACAGCAGGACUCUUUAGCAGUAUUGCCUACAGACUCCAACAUCAUGCAUACCAGAGACAAGCCUCACCAACCUACCAUCUUAACUUUUAUGUUUUCAGAUGGGGGAGUAAUCACCUCUCAUAACUCCACUCCUCCUAACCCCACGUUUAAUUUUCAGAAUUCUGCCUCACCGUGGAAAUGUUUCUACCUCAACAUGGUCCUGAUAGAAUGAUAUGUCUAAAUCAAAGGCACCUUUCCCUUUACCUCACCUGGGUCCUUAAAUAUGACAGUGCCAUGUCUCCUCAUAACAUCUUGUCUCUUUGUUUUUCCAGUCUGACAUACGUGCAUUCACCAGUGAAGUUGUCCUGGCCAAAACACCUGGCACCAGCAGUCUACCUGGGCAUCAA